GACGAACGCUGGCGGCGUGCUUAACACAUGCAAGUCGAACGGAAAGGCCCUGCUUUUGUGGGGUGCUCGAGUGGCGAACGGGUGAGUAACACGUGAGUAACCUGCCCUUGACUUUGGGAUAACUUCAGGAAACUGGGGCUAAUACCGGAUAGGAGCUCCUGCUGCAUGGUGGGGGUUGGAAAGUUUCGGCGGUUGGGGAUGGACUCGCGGCUUAUCAGCUUGUUGGUGGGGUAGUGGCUUACCAAGGCUUUGACGGGUAGCCGGCCUGAGAGGGUGACCGGCCACAUUGGGACUGAGAUACGGCCCAGACUCCUACGGGAGGCAGCAGUGGGGAAUAUUGCACAAUGGGCGGAAGCCUGAUGCAGCAACGCCGCGUGCGGGAUGACGGCCUUCGGGUUGUAAACCGCUUUCGCCUGUGACGAAGCGUGAGUGACGGUAAUGGGUAAAGAAGCACCGGCUAACUACGUGCCAGCAGCCGCGGUGAUACGUAGGGUGCGAGCGUUGUCCGGAUUUAUUGGGCGUAAAGGGCUCGUAGGUGGUUGAUCGCGUCGGAGGUGUAAUCUUGGGGCUUAACCCUGAGCGUGCUUUCGAUACGGGUUGACUUGAGGAAGGUAGGGGAGAAUGGAAUUCCUGGUGGAGCGGUGGAAUGCGCAGAUAUCAGGAGGAACACCAGUGGCGAAGGCGGUUCUCUGGGCCUUUCCUGACGCUGAGGAGCGAAAGCGUGGGGAGCGAACAGGCUUAGAUACCCUGGUAGUCCACGCUGUAAACGGUGGGUACUAGGUGUGGGGUCCAUUCCACGGGUUCCGUGCCGUAGCUAACGCUUUAAGUACCCCGCCUGGGGAGUACGGCCGCAAGGCUAAAACUCAAAGGAAUUGACGGGGCCCCGCACAAGCGGCGGAGCAUGCGGAUUAAUUCGAUGCAACGCGUAGAACCUUACCUGGGUUUGACAUGGAUCGGGAGUGCUCAGAGAUGGGUGUGCCUCUUUUGGGGUCGGUUCACAGGUGGUGCAUGGCUGUCGUCAGCUCGUGUCGUGAGAUGUUGGGUUAAGUCCCGCAACGAGCGCAACCCUUGUUCACUGUUGCCAGCACGUUAUGGUGGGGACUCAGUGGAGACCCCCGGGGUCAACUCGGAGGAAGGUGGGGAUGACGUCAAGUCAUCAUGCCCCUUAUGUCCAGGGCUUCACGCAUGCUACAAUGGCUGGUACAGAGAGUGGCGAGCCUGUGAGGGUGAGCGAAUCUCGGAAAGCCGGUCUCAGUUCGGAUUGGGGUCUGCAACUCGACCUCAUGAAGUCGGAGUCGCUAGUAAUCGCAGAUCAGCAACGCUGCGGUGAAUACGUUCCCGGGGCU
rnacentral:rRNA from 1 species